rnacentral:misc_RNA from 1 species
CGGGUAGGCAGUGUUUCCCAGCCAAAGAGUCAUUGCAAACAUUGCACCUAUUGGAACAACUGAUGUUGUGUAUAUUUCUACUGUCAUUCCAUCCUCAACUUUCAUAACCUUGAAAACUUUCGUCAGUAUAAAACACAAAACAGAAGAGAAGACCAUGUGCAGUAGAGUCAAUCCAAGAGGAUAAGGAAAGUUUAUUUCCUUAGAAGACAAAACCCACUUGUUAAAGAAGAUCUGGCCACUAGAGAGGGCGAUGUAAAGAAGAAUGUAAGC